CAUCAUCUGUGCCCCCCCCGCCCCCGCCUCUGGCCUCCUGGCUCUUCUGCUCCCUGUUUCCAUACUACAGAGGCACAGGGGAUUAUAAAGGCCCUUGUCUUGAGCUCCACAAGAUAGAGCAGAAGUUAGCAACAGAAAGAGGGCCUUUCAGGCUCCUAGAUGAAAACUGAAGUUCAGCGGAAAAUUAAAGGGAAUCUCUACAAUAAAGGCACACCAGACCACCGUACUUGGGGGAGAUUUUUCCUUUGGGGACCUCGAAUGCUGUUCUGUUAAUAGAUGCAGGAUCGACUACCUCCAGGCACCUGCACACAGCUGGAUCCUUGAUUCAGGCUGCAGAUGGAGGCCAUUAACAAGAAAAACACGAAUUCAACACUAAACCGGAACGAGAAGUAGUCUGUGAGCUAAUUAAGUGCCAGCUGAAAUUUGAUGAGAUUUUUAAAAAGCAUACCUGCAACAAGAAAGUUUGAAAAUUAUUACAGACAACUAAAGAAUUAGAUAACUUUGAAAUUUAGAGUUCAAUUCUCAUAAUUAGCUAGGAAGUAUAGAAAUGCAUCUCUUGCAAUUGCUAUGACAAGAGUAUUAAUUUAUUAACAUGUAGAAGAGAGUUGCAACUUUACAGAAAUGGGAUGGCUAAUUACAGGAAAAAUUAAGUUAAAAUCACUCUACUUUCCAUUCUUUAGUGGAUCACUUGCUUUCUUAAAUGAUUUCCUGUAUGGUUUGGAGGAUAAAAUACAUUUCCUAAUUUUAAGUCUGAAGCACUUUUGCGAUAGCAUUUUUAAGCUCAUGAUCUUCUCUUUAAAGAAGUUAUUCUUUUUUUAAAGACACGGAUCCAUUUCUCCAGACUAAAUCUAAGGAGUCAUAUCCUUAGAUGUUUCUGCUUUGUAGAUGCAAACAUGUUGUAAAUACCUGUUGACUUGAAAUAAACAGCAAGCCAUCCACUGCACUCAGACGGAGUGUGAAUCACCACCUUGCACCUCCUAGCAGUGUUAAGAUUGGGACCUUUUCCUCUCAGCUGCUCUAGUAAUUCUUGGGUUCUCUGGCCCAGAAGCACUGCUUUUACCCCAAGACCCUGCAUCCUGCCUGCAUCCUCCCUUUCCAAAUGCACACAGCAAUUGCUCUUCCUUGAAUGGGCUUCCUGCCACAUUGAAAUAAUGAAAAUGCCACUGGUGGAGAAUGAUGUGGUCCUCUAGCACUGGUGGGAGAGUUGGCAGAGGGUGGGUCCUGGUAGGCUUGGGAUUGCUCUGUGAGACAGCAUGGCAUGUGGUAACCACAGAUCUUACCCAGUACCUCUUGCUAGUCCCUCAGGGGCCUGGGGGAUGUUGCAGAUUUGCACCUGAAGCAGCAGGGAAGAGUGAGCACCAUGGAGCUUUGGGGAAAGAGUUGAUGCUGCCUGCAAUAUUCCCCCAAAUGAUGCCCAGCUCUGUGCUUGUUUUUAUUUUCCACUUCAGUUGUAUAUUGAAUUAUAAUAAUGCCUUGUGUUAUGUAGCUAUUUUCACUUGACAAAACAUUGUUGUAUACUAUUGGUUUUAACGCGAAAAAUGAUUGUAAGCCUUCAGAUAAUCUUGUUGUUUUUUCAUGUGUGUAUUUUGUUGGUUUCUUUCUUAUAUAGACCCAAAUUGAAUUUAGCUGAUGACACUCAUUCAGGGACUCCGCACCAAAUUUCACCACAAUCCACAAAACCCACAAAGAUAUUGGACCCAGGUAGGCCCAGAAUGUAAAUAAUCAAUUUUUCCUUGCUGCAAUGAAGAGAAGAG
ensembl:lncRNA